GAGCUAGCGUAUCUAGCUUGUAUUCAGCCGCCCUGGCUCGGGUGCCCUGUCUGCUGGUCCGGAAUCGGCCAGUAGGCGGGUGUCUCUCGGGUCUUGGUGGUGCACUUGCAAGUGGAGUGCGCUGAGGCCUGUGGGUCAGCGGUUGGAAGUGCGCUUUGAGGAUACCCUUUGGGGUAAAACCCGGGCGUGCCUAAGACUGUUUGGCCUGCUUGUACAAUGAGCGAGGCCAACGGGUUUGGCUGGGGCUGAGCUGGUCGCCGGUUACGGUCGCAUGCGACACGUGCUGGUGGCUGGUUUGGUCUGGGUCUGGCUCCCUCACUCGCCCUCGGUGUAAAAGCUAGUCAUCUAUCUGACCCGUCUUGAAACACGGACCAAGGAGUUUAGCGUAUACGCGAGUCAUUGAGUGAAAAACUCAAAGGCGCAAUGAAAGUAAAGGCAUCCCUUGUGGAGCUGAUAUGCGACCUCGGGUGCUUCGGUGCCCGGGAGCAGCAUAGCCCCGUCCCGAUCGCUUGCGAUGGGGCGGAGGUAGAGCGUGUUCGCUGAGACCCGAAAGAUGGUGAACUAUUCCUGAGCAGGAUGAAGCCAGUGGAAA
rnacentral:rRNA from 2 species